rnacentral:rRNA from 1 species
CAGCAGCCGCGGUAAUACGAAGGGUGCAAGCGUUACUCGGAAUUACUGGGCGUAAAGCGUGUGUAGGUGGUUGUUUAAGUCUGUCGUGAAAGCCCUGGGCUCAACCUGGGAAUUGCGAUGGAUACUGGGCGACUAGAGUGCGGUAGAGGAUAGUGGAAUUUCCGGUGUAGCAGUGAAAUGCGUAGAGAUCGGAAGGAACAUCUGUGGCGAAGGCGACUGUCUGGGCCAACACUGACACUGAGACACGAAAGCGUGGGGAGCAAACAGGAUUAGAUACCCGCGUAGUCCCUGUCUCUUAUAC